rnacentral:lncRNA from 1 species
AUGCGCCGGGAAGGGCGCUCUGCCUUGGCCGCCGAGGGAGCGAGCCGGAGACGGGGCAUCCCUUGCCGCGGCCCSGCGUUCCGGCCCCUGGCGCAGGGAGGAGCCCCCCGCGGAGGCGCUCCUGCCCCCCAGCCCGCUCCCCCCCUAAAUCACAGCUGGCAUCUUCGGGGYUCGCCCGGUCGGGGUCGCCCCGCCGGCUCCUUCGGGAACGGCGCUCGGGAGCGGAGCAUCUCCCUCCUCCGGCCGCCGUUACGUAAGGCCGCGGGCGGGAGGCAGGCGGGGAAGCGCUGCCUGCGCUCUCGCCUCCCCAAAAGCCUCGGCAGCCCUAGCAACAGGCAGGCCAUUGGCGUGCGGCGGUGCCGGGGCCAUCGGCGGUACCGGGGCCAUCGGCGGCACGGCACGGCACGGCACGGCCCGGCCCGCUCCCCACGGUGCCCACGGGCUUUGCUGCACGGGGAGGCGACGGGGCGGGAGCCGGCAGAGCAUCCUGCCGUGGGCAUCCCCGCGCCCGGCACGUUUUGGGGAGCCGCCCCGGGAGAGCUGGCGCGGGCCAUCGCUCCAGCGCCGCCUCGGAGAGGGGAGAAGGCGUCCCCGCACCUCCGCCGCGUUUCUGCCCCYGAAACGCUGGGGUUUGGGGCGGCUGCUCCUGCGCCCUCCGGGCAGCUCCUCAUCCUCGGCGAGGCAAGAGCCGCCCUCGCCGGCUGCGAAGGGGGCGCGGGGGGAGAGCCAGAGGUCUCGACGGGGGCCCCYGAGCAAAGCUGGGGAGGCCUAAUUCGGCUGCCUUCGCCCUCUGCGAGCCCCAGGCCCCCCUUCCCGGGGGGUUAUUCCCCGGUUUUCCCCCCGGGGGGGUGCGUGCCGGGACGGGACGGGACGGGACGGCCGGCGCUGGGGCCCGCCCCGCCGGGCGCACGAGCCAACGCACAUUUUAGGUUUACAGUUUCCAAGGGAGGGGAUUAUUUUUGCAGCGUGAGUCACCGCACGCAGCUUCGAGUGGAAAAACCCGGGGGGAGGGAGGCCAGGGCCCCCAGCGCCGGCGGGGAAACGCUCCCCAUCGCUCCCGCCGCGGGGCGAGCUCCGGCGCGGCCCCCGCCGCCGUUUGCCCUCUCCCGGGAGCCGAAGGUYAAACGCAGGCCGGGAGGGGGGCGAGGGACGCCUAGUCAACCAUUAACCCGCCGCGGCGGCGGCCACCGCCAGCGCGCCUGA